UACGUAGGGUGCGAGCGUUAAUCGGAAUUACUGGGCUUAAAGGGCGCGUAGGCGGUGAAGUAAGUCGGGUGUGAAAUACCAUAGCUUAACUAUGGAACUGCACUCGAUACUACUUUGCUAGAGUAAGACAGAGGUGAGUGGAACUGAGGGUGGAGCGGUGAAAUGCGUUGAUAUCCUGAGGAACACCGGUGGCGAAGGCGACUCACUGGGUCUUUACUGACGCUGAUGCACGAAAGCUAGGGUAGCAAACGGG
rnacentral:rRNA from 1 species